rnacentral:misc_RNA from 1 species
UACAAUUUUUUUUUUUUUUUUAAUCAUAGAAUUCUCUACAUUCUUAAUGCAAAUACUCAUAACAAAUCACAAAAUAAAAGUCUACAGUAAUUGAAGUUACUCAGCUCUCCAACAUCUGCAGGUGGAUCUGCCAAGCCAUCGUUAUCUGACAAGUCCAAAACUCUUAAAGUAGGCAAACAUAGAAGAAAUCCGCUUGGAAGAGUCUUUAAAUUUGUAGCCCUCAGAAGCAAUGUUGAAAGACGAUUACAAGAGGGCAGCAUAGCAAUAUUGUCAGCUCUUCACCUCUUCAGGGUCCUCGAUUCCAAUCAGCUCUGCGCGGCCCACCUUCCUUCUUAUUGUAUUGACAAGCUUUACAGCAUCUACUCCAUCCCCUAUCACCGUUAUCACGUCUUUAUCUUCCCCCAUUAAAGCCACGCUCUCCACACCUGAAACUUUAACAACAGUCUGCAUGGCUCUUGAACGGGACUUCGGUUCAUGCUUGUUGAGCUUGAUACUUAUUUUUUUCAUGUUUUGCAUUAUGGGUCGAUAUUUCAGGGAGAGAGUGUCCUUUGUUUCUUUGCUAUUCCACUGCAACAUAUUCCACCAGCUUCUCUGUCCUUUUAUUUCCUUUAGAUUCUUUGCACUGUCGGAAUCGAACGGUAGUCUGCAUAGCUUUGGGCAGUGAUCAACGAGUAGCCUCAUGAGGGAAGGAAAUCUUAGGGCCUUGUCGCAGAUGCACUCCAGCUUUGGCAGGAAUUUCAAUUUUAAAUCUGUGAGACUAUAGAAUAUGCCCUGCUCAGAAGCGUCACUUAUUACUUCAUCCAUAUCACUGCAUAGAAUCAAUUCCAAAGUUUGAAGGUACGGAGCAUUAAUCAGCCAAUUCACGUUCUUAAUUUGACAGCUGGAAAUGCUUACAAAACUAAGGCCCUGAAAGCAUUCCUGUCCCGUCAUAUUGGAUAUGAAUCCCAGGGAUUCUCCUUCCUUUUCAUUGUCAUCAAUUUCCACCUCAUUCAAAUAUGGACAAUCAGAUAUUUCAAGUCUCUCUAGAUGCUCCAUUCUUUUCAGAGAUAGCUUUAUUAAGGAGGAUGAGGCCUUGUCUGAGCUAUUCACGAUUCUCAAUUGUUUAAUGCACCCCCGUAGCUUCAGGGAGUCCAAAACUUUUUGAACAGAAGUGGGAGAAGACAAUGAGAUACCUAUCUCAUUCACGUAUUGCAACUGUUCCAACUCCUCAAGAAUGCCUACAUCCUCCGGAGGAUAAAGAACUAACAUUCUAAACACCUGUAACAAAGAGAUACCAGAUAUAACUCCCCGAGCUAUGGCCAAAUUGCUACUUAUUAUCAAAAACCGCAACGAGUCUGCCAGGCUUUGCACCUCAGCUGGAAGUUCUUUUAUAGAAGUUCCUGAAAGAUUAAGGUAAUUCAACUUACUCAGCUUUCCAAUAUCUGCAGGUAGAUCAGUCAAGCCUUUAUUAUCUGACAAAUCCAAAAUUCUUAAAGCAGGCAUACAUAGAAGAAAUCCGCUUCGAAGAGUCUUUAAGUUCGUAGCCCUGAUAAUCAAUGUUGUAAGACGAUUGCAAGAAGGCGGCAUUUGAUCCAAAGAUUUGAUGCAGGCCCCGCAUAAAGAUAUCCUCUCUGCGUCGACCCAUCCAGCAAAAUCAAAUGCUUUUUCUCGUACUAAAACUUUUUCCUGUUCACAAGCAAGCCACAAGGCCAUCUCAUGAAUCAGGUCAUGCAUCUUGACAAAAUCUUCUGAUUCACCACUUCCCAACAAACUCGCAUGUUUCAAACCUGUAAUGAUUUCUUCCCCUUCUUCCCUUGCAUGAUAUAUGUCAUUAGAUCCAUCCAGAAAACCUUCAGCAAUCCAGAGCUCAAUUAGCUCUUCCUUCUUAAUAUUAAGGACCUCGGAGAACAUGGAAAAGUAUAAAAAACAUUUUUUGAGAGUAUCAUCGCUCAGUCUAUCAUAGCUUACCUUGAGAACAGAAAAGACACGAGCUUCGAUAUGUGGGAACUUUGAAGGAUUAGUUUUCAACGUCUCAAUUGCACGCUUCCAGUACCGUACGUUGGUCUUGCUAGCCAUGGCUCUUCCAAUUGUGGUGAGCAUAAGUGGAACACCCUUGCACACGUCAACAAUAUCCUUGGCUAGCUUUUGGAUCUCUGGGUGAGCAUUUAGACUGCCUUGGCCUACAUACAAUGCAAACAACUCGACAGCAGCAUCAGGUGGCAAGGGCUUUACUUCAAUGCUUUUUGCCCUCAUCUUGUCACAAACCUCUUGAGACCGGGUGGUGAAAAUGACUUUGGAGCCCUUCCCGUUGCCAACAGUAGGAACUCCGGCUUCUUCUAAGAGAUCUGAAUCAAGCCAUUGACUUUUUACAUCAUCCAACAACAAAAAGAACUUCUCGCUUCUCAAUGCGUUCCAGAUCACCACUUUGUCUGGAUCAGUUUUAUUUUCCCAGAACUCUCGAGAAAUUUCAAAUUUUUUGCAAACAGCUUCCUGAAUUGUUUUUACUGGGUCUUGUUUUGACAUCUCAAUCCAUAUCACCACACUAUCGCAUGUGUUGGAAAGCUUAUUGUAGAUCUUCCUUAAGAGGGUGGUUUUACCCAACCCUCCUAUACCAUAUAAUCCAAUAAUUCCCACAUCUGGCUCUUCAAUCCAUCUCCAAAUUUCCCCAAAGUUGUAGUCCAAGCCCACCGUUUGUGGCAUAGGCAUCUCAUUGGUUGGAUCAAGGGGUUUUCUCUCAACAACAACAACAUCGAAAUUACCAUCCUUUAUCAGUUCAGUAACCUCUUUGAGCUUUGAGCUUACUUUCUUUCCCAUCCUGUUGUAGGAGCAACAGUUCUUGGGACAGAACCAUCUAAGAGGGAAUUUCUUGCGAAUUUCUUCUUGAGCUUCAUUGAUUAUUUCUUCCAUGUUCUUCUGUGAUCGACUCACCCUCUUUAUCCAUAAGGUCACAUUGUCCGCCUGUUGAUUGUACGGUCUCUUUUCUUGCCUAACCCUCGCAUUCACCUGCUCUUUUAUGUCCUCUAAUGACUUCAUUUCCUUUUCCAAGGACUUGAUAUUGUCUUCCAAAUCAUCAAAGUAAUCUGCACGAGCGCAGCAAAAACCGAAGGAGCCCUUGAUAGCAUCCCAAACUGGGCUAAUAGCUGCCGCCUCCAUGCCUGUCGUGCCUAUAAUAUGACCCCAGAAACAAAUAAGGAAGAGUUCAGCAAAUGAAUAAGCGAGAAUACGUAUAUUCUUCGGAGUUAAGGAUUUCAGAAGGGCAAUGCAUUUAACUCUUGACACAAAAAGAGAGAAUUAAUAGAGGGAGAACCAAAAAAAAGAAUGAAAUUGCAGAGAUAUCUGAAAAACAAGAUCUGGAUUUCUACUGAAGAUGUGAGAAAUGGAAGUUCAGAAGAAAAUUAAGGAAAGCAGAGUGGGAGGCACAGGUAUCAUUUUUAUGA